CAAAUGUGUAGUCUCAACACCAGGAGCCUACCAAUCAGCUUCACAAACAGUGCAUGUUUUUUUAUUGUUUAACAAAAAUAACUCUUGUUUUGUCAAUUUUUAUUGCAUAAUGUUUUACUUUCAUGACAUUUAAGUGCACCACAGUGCAUAAUUGCCGAAAGCUACUCUCAAUCCAGUGACUAGGCGGCCAUCUUUGGCUGUGGCAGUCGUGUUUGUUCGCGCCAGCCGUAGCCAGCAGCGCGCAUUUCGCAAGAGCCGCUUGGUUAAGCACGUGCAUGUUUUGCGAUGACACCAAACCAAGAAGACUGAUGUGGACAUUAGGAGCCGCGCGCAGUGGUCCGAAGGGGAAACCCACACACUCGUAAGAGUGUGGCAGGACCACCUAGGAGAUCUGCGGUGUACCAAGAGAAACGCGAAAGUCUACGCAGCCAUUCAAGAGGAGCUGCGCGCUGAAGGUAUAGAUAAACCCCUGAAGACCAUAAAGUCGAAGAUAGAGAACUUGGGCAACAAAUACAGAGACCUGUACAAGAAGAGAUGUACAAGGCAGGGUGCCAUCUCCUGGAAAUAUUUUUGCGAGCUACACGAGUUCCUUGCUGCAGUUUCAGUGAAUGACAAGUCACUAACAGAUGACAUUAGCUGCAGCAGUGCAACAGUUGAAGACGUAACUGCCAUACCUACUCUUUGCUUGUGAACAUUUCCAGUACAAUGUUUAUUUUUACUUGUGUUAAUGUCUCUGUAUGUGUUCCAGCUCGUUCACGAGAUAGUGCAUGGCACAGAUUUCAACUGUGAAGACGCUGUGCUGGACCAAGACAUCACCAGUCGUCCACCAUCGCCACACAUAUUGGAGCACGGCGACGACGCUGUUGUUCCGACAGCCGAACCAGAUGUGUCGGCUUCACCACCUGCAUGUGGCAUUGGCAGGAGAGUGCCAGUGGGGAAAAAAACACAGAUGAAAUCUCUGCUUGCACAGAUCAUUGACGAGCAAAGAAAAAUAAGAAUUUGUUAUGAAAAAUCAAAAGAAAAACAAAAUUCCUAUCGGGAACGAAUGUUCGUGCUUCAGGAGAAGGCUGCUGAGCGUGAGGAAAGAUUGAUUACAGUCUCGGCAGACUUGGGCAAAAAAUAAAUGCGUUCUCAGCCACUCCACUUUCUUGUGUUAUUCUUUUGCAGGAAACAUGUAAUAACAGCACAUGCAUGUUAUGCAACUAGCUGUAUUUCAUGCAGCAGAUCUCAACAUGCUAUAUGUUCGUAAACUGUUUGCACUCUCUCUGCUGCAGCUUGCCCGUCCUGCAAACUUUUAGCUUCAAUGUCACUGAUAUAGCCUGUAGACCCAGUGGCGCACCAUAACAUACAAUAGCCAUACAGACAGCAUGAUUGUGACAAUUGCAAGUUAAAAACUGAUUUGCUUUGGAUGGCCCCCCCUGACAUAGUAAACACUCAAAAAACAAACAUUUGGUGCUGGCACUUGCC
rnacentral:lncRNA from 1 species